UGGAGCCCAAGGCUUAGCUCUAGUGGCAAAAGGUGGAGGAUUUGUGGCUUAGGUCGCAGGUUCAAGCCCCACACCAUGCAAAGCGAAGGCCGAUAUUUAAGUGGACCCCAAGGCUUAGCUCUAGUGGCAAAAGGUGGAGGAUUUGUGGCUUAGGUCUCAGGUUCAAGCCCCACACCAUGCAAAGCGAAUCCCAGUAUUUAAGUGGAGUCCAAGGCUUAGCUCUAGUGGCAAAAAGUGUAGGAUUUGUGGCUUAGGUCGCAAGUUCAAGCCCCACACCAUGCAAAGCGAAUCCCAGUAUUUAAGUGGAGUCCAAGGCUUAGCUCUAGUGGCAAAAGGUGGAGGAUUUGUGGCUUAGGUCGCAGGUUCAAGCCCCACACCAUGCAAAGCGAAUCCCAGUAUUUAAGUGGAGUCCAAGGCUUAGCUCUAGUGGCAAAAAGUGUAGGAUUUGUGGCUUAGGUCGCAAGUUCAAGCCCCACACCAUGCAAAGCAAAGCCCGGUAUUUAAGUGGAUCCCAAGGUUUAGCUCUAGUGGAAAAAGGUGGAGGAUUUGUGGCUUAGGUCGCAGGCUCAAGCCCCACACCACGCAAAGCGAAGCUCGGUAUUUAAGUGGAUCCCAAGGCUUAGCUCUAGUGGCAAAAGGUGGAGGAUUUGUGGCUUAGGUCGCAG
rnacentral:lncRNA from 1 species